rnacentral:rRNA from 1 species
AACGAACGCUGGCGGCAUGCCUAACACAUGCAAGUCGAACGAGACCUUCGGGUCUAGUGUCGCACGGGUUCGUAACGCGUGGGAACCUGCCCUUAGGUUCGGAAUAACUCCCCGAAAGGGGUGCUAAUACCGGAUAAUGUCUUCGGACCAAAGAUUUAUCGCCUUUGGAUGGGCCCGCGUUGGAUUAGCUAGUUGGUAGGGUAAAAGCCUACCAAGGCGACGAUCCAUAGCUGGUCUGAGAGGAUGAUCAGCCACACUGGGACUGAGACACGGCCCAGACUCCUACGGGAGGCAGCAGUGGGGAAUAUUGGACAAUGGGCGAAAGCCUGAUCCAGCAAUGCCGCGUGAGUGAUGAAGGCAUUAGGGUUGUAAAGCUCUUUUACCCGGGAUGAUAAUGACAGUACCGGGAGAAUAAGCUCCGGCUAACUCCGUG